GGAGAGGUGGCUGAGUGGUCGAAAGCGCCAGAUUGCUAAUCUGUUGUAUGUUUUAAUCAUACCGAGGGUUCGAAUCCCUUCCUCUCCUUUU
rnacentral:tRNA from 1 species